CAACGCUGUUUGUAGCUUUAAUGGUUUGUUUGGUUUUUUUUAUCGUUGUGUUGCUAUCCAGGUGAUGUGUAAACCAUAUCACAAUUGAUCAAUAUACUCAUAUUUAAGCUUCGCUUAAUGUGAUUUUUUAUUCGGUCAUAACUGAAAUAGGUUAGUGACCCUUCAAUUCAUCUAAAUAUAAAUAUGUUGAUAAAUGACCGAAUUUUAUACAAUCAUGGUUGUCUCAAGUAUGAUCUUUAUCUAUAUAUAUAUAUAUGUUUUGAUCUUAGUUUCUUGAUAAAUAC
rnacentral:lncRNA from 1 species